AUAUCAGUCAUGCAUAGCAUAUCAAUAAGCGGAGGAAAAGAAACUAACAAGGAUUCCCUUAGUAACGGCGAGUGAAGCGGGAAGAGCUCAAAUUUGAAAUCUUCAAGGUUUUACCUUGACGAAUUGUAGUUUAAAGAAGUGUUUUCUGUUGAAGUUUUGGUAAAAGUUCUUUGGAAUAGGACAUCAUAGAGGGUGAGAAUCCCGUAUUUGACCAUUAUUUUCAGCUGUGUGAUACACUUUCAAAGAGUCGGAUCGUUUGGGAAUGCAGUCCAAAAUGGGUGGUAAAUUUCAUCUAAAGCUAAAUAUUGGCGAGAGACCGAUAGCGAACAAGUACCGUGAGGGAAAGAUGAAAAGAACUUUGAAAAGAGAGUUAAACAGUACGGGAAAUUGUCAAAAGGGAAGCGUUUGACACCAGUGUUGUUUUCUCGAAAAUCAAUUAAAAAAGUUGGAUUUUGUGUUGUAUUGACCUUAACAGCUUUCUGCACUCUUUUCCUGCUUUUUUUAAUGCACUUUUCGUUUAACAAGUCAACAUCAGUUUCUUUUGUUGUAAAAGGGUCAUUGGAAGGUGGCUUUCUUUUCGGAGAAAGUGUUUAUAGCCUUUGAUCUCUGCAAUCGGAGAGACUGAGGUCUGCAGCGUAGAUCCUUCAGGGUUAGAUACAUUUGUGCUAAGUUAUAACUUUUCAUAGACAACUUGUUGACUAUGUUUUAGUCAUGUAGCUUACUCGCUUAUGCUAUUUUACCUACGCUUAGGAUGUUGAAGAUGUAGCACAUCAUACACGCAUGACACACUGCAUAUCAAUAAGCGGAGGAAAAGCCAACUACCUACGCUUAGGAUGUUGAACUCUAUCACACACA
rnacentral:rRNA from 1 species